rnacentral:lncRNA from 1 species
GGGUUUCGCGCCUCCACGCGUCCCGCCGCGUGUUCGAGUGGAUGCACCGCGCCGGCUCCGCCGUGCCGGUGAUUCACAAUAUGCAGUUCGACGCGAGCGCGGAGAAGGACACCGUCGUGAUCGAGUCCGGCGCGCAGGCGGGCGGCUUGCUGUGCGACGGCCUCGGCGACGGCGUCGUCGUCGAGCACCCGGGGGUGCCGCUGUCGUAUCUCCGCACGACGUCGUUCGGCUUACUUCAGGGGUCGCGCAUGAGGAACACGAAGACGGAGUACGUAUCGUGCCCGUCCUGCGGCAGGACGCUGUUCGAUCUCCAGGAGGUCACCGCCGCGAUCUCGGAGCGCACGGGGCAUUUGCCUGGCGUCGCGAUCGCGGUGAUGGGGUGCAUCGUGAACGGUCCGGGGGAGAUGGCGGACGCGGAUUUUGGAUACGUCGGCGGAGCGCCCGGGAAGAUCGACCUGUACGUCGGCAAGGAGGUCGUGAAGCGGGGGAUCGACAACGACACCGCGUGCGACGAGCUCAUUCAGCUCAUC